rnacentral:tRNA from 1 species
GGAGAGAUGUCCGAGUUGGCUUAAGGAGCACGCCUGGAAAGCGUGUGUUACGUCACAAGCGUACCGGGGGUUCGAAUCCCCCUCUCUCCG